ensembl:snRNA U2 U2 spliceosomal RNA
CACACUUCCCAGCUGUCGGCUAAGAUCAAGUGCAUCAUCUUUUCUUAUCACUUUAAUAUCUGAUACAUCCUGAGCUUGAAGAUUUUCUAUUAAAUGGCUUUGGAGGGCAUGGGAAGGAGUAACCGCUUCUUCCAUCCACUGCAUCAGCCUGAAACUGCAGUGCUUCCAGGUACUGUGGCCACAUU